GGUUGUGUAGUGUAGUGGUGAUCACUUCGGAUUUUGAGAAACAUACAAAUUGAAAUUUCCGACAACCCCGGUUCGAACCCGGGCACGACCU